CCUACGGGUGGCAGCAGUCGAGAAUCAUUCACAAUGGGGGAAACCCUGAUGGUGCGACGCCUCGUGGGGGAAUGAAGGUCUUCGGAUUGUAAACCCCUGUCAUGUGGGAGCAAAUGAAAAAGAUAGUACCACAAGAGGAAGAGACGGCUAACUCUGUGCCAGCAGCCGCGGUAAUACGGAGGUCUCAAGCGUUGUUCGGAAUCACUGGGCGUCAAGCGUGCGUAGGCUGUUUCGUAAGUCGUGUGUGAAAGGCGCGGGCUCAACCCGCGGACGGCACAUGAUACUGCGAGACUAGAGUAAGGGAGGGGGAACCGGAAUUCUCGGUGUAGCAAUGAAAUGCGUAGAUAUCGAGAGGAACACUCGUGGCGAAGGCGGGUUCCUGGACAUUAACUGACGCUGAGGCACGAAGGCCAGGGGAGCGAAAGGGAUUAGAUACCCUAGUAGUC
rnacentral:rRNA from 1 species